AAUUUUCGUGGUUUCAAGUAUCUUAGUAACGAGUUAAGGCUUUUGGGAUGGCAUCGAUAUCCUUUCAAAUCCUUCCCUCCAAGCUUUCAACCAGAAAACCUGGUUGCGGUUCUUCUGCCUUAUAGCCGCAUUGAGAAGUUGUGGAAGCCAAACUCGCCUUUACAUAAGCUAAAAUUGGUCAACCUCAGAGGCUCAGAAAACCUUAUGAAAAUGCCAAACUUCAGUAUGGCCCCAAACCUUGAAACUUUGGUUUUGGAAGGUACUGGAAUUGCAUAUUUUCAUCCAAGCAUCAAGUUUCUAAGGAGACUUAAACUUUUGAAUUUAAGAAACUGCAAAAAUCUUAGGAGUUUCCCAACCAAAAUUGGAAAGGAAUCUCUUGAAACAUUGAUACUUUCAGGUUGUUCAAAGAUUGGAAGGAUUCCAGAGAUUGUGGGGGAAAUGGAAUGUUUUAAGAGCUUUGUUUAGAUGGGACUGCUAUUAAAGAACUUCCCUCUUCACUUGGAAAUCUCAAGAGUCUUGAGUUUCUAACUCUGGAUGAUUGCAGUAAGCUUGAGAGUCUCCCAAGCAGCAUAGGAGGGUGUGAAUUCCUCAAAUUUCUUAGUCUCUCGGGCUGCUCUAGACUCGAAAACUUGCCAGACAAUUUGCACCAGAUAAAUUCAUUGGAGAUUCUCAACUUAAGUGAAACUGCCAUACAAUCACCACCAUCCUUAAUUUUUCAUAUGAAAAAUCUGAAGUUUCCUUCUAUACAAGGAUGCAAGGGGCCACCAUCUCGAGUACGAUCACAUUGGCCUUUUAUUUUGGGGACAACGCAAAUACAUUGCCGGAAUUCUAUGACUCGGCUUCCUGCUCUUUUGUCAGGUUUGAGUACUUUGAAAGGGCUAAACUUAAGUGACUGCAAUCUUUAUGAUGGAGAUAUUCCUGAUGAUAUUUGCAGCAUGUCCUCGUUGGAAGUUCUGUGUCUUUCAGAUAACAAUUUCAUCACCCUACCUACAACUCUGAGUCGACUUCCAAGCUUUCUCAUCUAUUACUGACCGACUGCAGGAGACUUAAAUCGUUGCCUGACCUUCCAGCAGGCAGAAAAUUAUUUAUAAGCGCUUGUGCUUCGUUGGAAGUAGAUGCAACAAGUUCAAGUGUUAAUGAAUUUAUUUGUGCUUUUAACUGCUUCAAAUUGGCAGAUUAUAACAAUGCAGUAGAAAUGCUGAAAAGGCGCCUUAAGGUAUCUGCAAAUGGAAGAACACAACCUUUCGACAUGAUGAUACCGGGCAGUGAAAUCCCACAAUGGUUUAGCCAUCACUCUUGGAGUCAAACGAUAAAGAUCCCAUUGCCUCUCAAUAUUCUGAAUGACAGUCGAUUUCUGUCUGCUGUGUUUUCUUCUCCGACUUCAAAACCGAACCUCGGAGUACAAUGCACAUUUCCUAUAGAUUUGUUAUCCAUGGUAGAAAUUGCUCCCGACUAGCUGCACUUGUUUACUUUCAUUUAGACGGGGAAUCAACGUGGUUGACCGAGGACCACCUUUGGCUACAUUAUUUACCUUGUAACAUUUUGUCUUCCAUACUGGAAGUGGAAUCAGAAUGUGAUGGAACUGAGAUUUCUGGAUCCAGCACAGAUACAGCAAAGGAAAGUUUUGAAAUUGAGAUUUUAUUCAAAAUCUGGGGUAGUCAUUCCAAAGUGAAGAAAUGUGGGGUUCGGAUGGUGGACGAAAAAGAUUUGGAAGAGACGGACGAAAGCAGACCAAGUUCUUCAAAUUUUGAUGCUGGUUCCCCUGGAAAGACAAUCAAGAGAAAAUGGUUGAAUGACAAGGCAGGUGAUGGGUGGAACAAACCAAGUUUUUGUUACUACUGUCAAGCAUACAUAGAAGACCGCCAAUCACUUGCUUAAUCCAUCUUCCCACUUUAGAUCUUUUAUGUAAUAAUUCCGUUAACACAUUGAUUGAGCAUUAGUUAU